UUCAGGGAGGUAAAUCUCCUAAGGCUAAAUACAGGCGAGAGACCGAUAGCGAACAAGUACCGUGAGGGAAAGAUGAAAAGAACUUUGAAAAGAGAGUCAAACAGUACGUGAAAUUCGUUGAAAGGGAAACGAUUGAAGCCAGUCGUACCGUCGGGAAUUCAACUUCUUAAGUGCUUGCCGUGGGUGACGUUGAGCUUCGCGGCCUUCGUCGCUUUGCGUUAUGGUACUUUUGUGGUGCACUUUUCCGUAUGGUAGGUCAAUAUCGAUUUUGGUCGUCAUAAAAUGAUCGGAGGAUGUAGCUUCGAUCUG
rnacentral:rRNA from 1 species